GAUGAACGCUGGCGGCGUGCCUAAUACAUGCGAGUCGAGCGAACGGACGAGAAGCUUGCUUCUCUGAUGUUAGCGGCGGACGGGUGAGUAACACGUGGAUAACCUACCUAUAGACUGGGAUAACUUCGGGAAACCGGAGCUAAUACCGGAUGAUAUUUUGAACCGCAUGGUUCAAAAGUGAAAGACGGUCUUGCUGUCACUUAUAGAUGGAUCCGCGCUGCAUUAGCUAGUUGGUAAGGUAACGGCUUACCAAGGCAACGAUGCAUAGCCGACCUGAGAGGGUGAUCGGCCACACUGGAACUGAGACACGGUCCAGACUCCUACGGGAGGCAGCAGUAGGGAAUCUUCCGCAAUGGGCGAAAGCCUGACGGAGCAACGCCGCGUGAGUGAUGAAGGUCUUCGGAUCGUAAAACUCUGUUAUUAGGGAAGAACAUAUGUGUAAGUAACUGUGCACAUCUUGACGGUACCUAAUCAGAAAGCCACGGCUAACUACGUG
rnacentral:rRNA from 1 species